UACGGAGGAUGCAAGCGCUAUCCGGAAUGAUUGGGCGUAAAGCGUCCGCAGGUGGUAAUGUAAGUCUGCUGUUAAAGAGUCUAGCUCAACUAGAUAAAAGCAGUGGAAACUACAUAGCUAGAGUACGUUCGGGGCAGAGGGAAUUCCUGGUGUAGCGGUGAAAUGCGUAGAGAUCAGGAAGAACACCGGUGGCGAAGGCGCUCUGCUAGGCCGUAACUGACACUGAGGGACGAAAGCUAGGGGAGCGAAUGGG
rnacentral:rRNA from 1 species